UACGGGGGGGGCAAGCGUUGUUCGGAAUUACUGGGCGUAAAGGGCUCGUAGGCGGCCAACUAAGUCGGAUGUGAAAUCCCCAGGCUUAACCUGGGAACUGCAUCCGAUACUGGAUGGCUUGAAUCCGGGAGAGGGAUGCAGAAUUCCAGGUGUAGCGGUGAAAUGCGUAGAUAUCUGGAGGAACACCGAUGGCGAAGGCAGCUCGCUGGGACGGUACUGACGCUGAGGCGCGAAAGCGUGGGGAGCAAACAGG
rnacentral:rRNA from 1 species